CCAAUAGCGUAUAUUAAAGUUGUUGCAGUUAAAAAGCUCGUAGUUGAAUUUCGGGGUUAGUAGGUUGGUCAUGCCUCUGGUAUGUACUGGUCUCACUGAUUCCUCCUUCCUGAUGAACCUUAAUGCCAUUAAUUUGGUGUUUUGGGGAAUUUGGACUGUUACUUUGAAAAAAUUAGAGUGUUUAAAGCAAGCUAACGCUUGAAUACAUUAGCAGGGAAUAAUGAAAUAGGACGUUCGAUCCUAUUUUGUUGGUUUCUAGGAUUGACGUAAUGAUUAAUAGGGAUAGUUGGGGGCAUUAGUAUUCAAUUGUCAGAGGUGAAAUUCUUGGAUUUAUUGAAGACUAACUACUGCGAAAGCAUUUGCCAAGGAUGUUUUCAUUAAUCAAGAACGAAAGUUAGGGGAUCGAAGACGAUCAGAUUCCGUCGUAGUCUUAACCAUAAACUAUGCCGACUAGGGAUCGGAUGAUGUUAAUUUUUUAAUGACUCAUUCGGCGCCUUACG
rnacentral:rRNA from 1 species